rnacentral:rRNA from 1 species
GGCGGCAGGCCUAACACAUGCAAGUCGAGCGCGAAAGUUUUCGGACUGAGUAAAGCGGCGGACGGGUGAGUAACGCGUGGGAAUCUGCCUGGUAGUGGGGGACAACAGUCGGAAACGACUGCUAAUACCGCAUACGCCCUACGGGGGAAAGGGGGGGAUCUUCGGACCUCUCGCUAUCAGAUGAGCCCGCGUCGGAUUAGCUAGUUGGUAGGGUAAAGGCCUACCAAGGCGACGAUCCGUAACUGGUCUGAGAGGAUGAUCAGUCACACUGGAACUGAGACACGGUCCAGACUCCUACGGGAGGCAGCAGUGGGGAAUAUUGGACAAUGGGGGCAACCCUGAUCCAGCCAUGCCGCGUGUGUGAAGAAGGCCUUAGGGUUGUAAAGCACUUUCAGUGGGGAGAAAGGUUAUUCACCUAAUACGUGAGUAAAUUGAUGCUACCCACAGAAGAAGCACCGGCUAACUCCGUGCCAGCAGCCCGCGGUAAUACGGAGGGUGCAAGCGUUAAUCGGAAUUACUGGGCGUAAAGCGCACGUAGGUGGUUCGCUAAGUCAGCUGUGAAAUCCCCGGGCUCAACCUGGGACUUGCAGUUGAAACUGGUGGGCUAGAGU